UACGUAGGGGGCAAGCGUUGUCCGGAUUUAUUGGGCGUAAAGAGCGUGUAGGCGGCCAAGCAGGUCCGCUGUGAAAACUCGAGGCUCAACCUCGAGACGUCGGUGGAAACCGUUUGGCUAGAGUCCGGAAGAGGAGAGUGGAAUUCCCGGUGUAGCGGUGAAAUGCGCAGAUAUCGGGAAGAACACCCGUGGCGAAGGCGGCUCACUGGCCCGAUACUGACGCUGAGGCACGAAAGCGUGGGGAGCAAACAGG
rnacentral:rRNA from 1 species